ensembl:misc_RNA Metazoa_SRP Metazoan signal recognition particle RNA
GCCGGGCAUGGUGGCGCAUGCCUGUAGUCCCAGCUACUCAGGAGGCUGAGGCAGGAGAAUCGCUUGAACCAGGGAGGUGGAGGUUGUGGUGAGCCAAGAUCAGGCCACUGCCCUCCAGCCUGGGCAACAGAGCGAGACUCUGUCUCCA